CAAAUUAUGCGUAGUCUUCGGAUUCAUCUUAUAGAUAAUUCUUACAGGAUGGCAUUUUGGGGAAUAUUAUCCCCCAACUACAGCCGACUUUGUAGCCAUGGGGAUGCUUUUCUUCUUUGGUUGACUUUUAUAGAUAAAUUUGAGUCUUGGUUUUGAUUGUCAAAAUUCAUUUUUUUCCUAUUUUAUUAGUUUCAGUGUAGCUGAAUGUGUUCUUCUAAACUUUUAAUACAAAUUUAGCCCCAUUUUUAAAUAUGAUUACGACAUGUUUUGAUCCUUUCGAUAUUACUCUAAUGACUAAAAUAAGUUCUUGAGUAAUUUUUUUCAUUCUCUAAACAUUCAAUGCAUUGCUUUUUAGUUUUUUUUUUCUCUUCUUAUUUUAUGACUGACGACAUGGAAAAUUUGUAGGAGAGUAUUGGAGGAUUUGGGUUUUUUUGAAUCUCCCUUCUCCAGAAUUCUGUUCUUUCUACUUGAAGUUGGCUUGAAGAUGGCUAGGUGCCAUGAAAGCAAUCAUUCUACUGAAAGCCAUUUUUACAUUUUCUUGUCUGUUGUACAAAUGUUCCUUUUCUUUCAUGUAAAAAAUAAUAUUCUAAGCUGAAGGUGAAUGAAUGUAAUCCCCAGAAACUGGUAUCUUCAUUGUAAAGGUGUAUGAAUUUAUACUUUUUAAAUGGAAAGGAUAUUAUGUAAUUUCAUUUAAAAA